UUUCACAGAUGAAGGAGACCAGGAGAGAGCUUAAUCGCUUCUUCCCCAGCAGGGCCAAGUCCCUGGGUUUCUUACAGCUGGGCCUCCCACUACUCUACACCAACCCAGGGAGCGGAAACCUGAGUGUGAGCUCCAAACAGGUCACCAGGGGCUUCCUGGCCACUUCCUCUAAGGACCUAUGGAGAGGAGGAAACUGAGACACACUGUUGAGAAACUCACCCCACCAACAUGGCCAUAUGGACUCCACAGUCAAGCACAGCUUUGCUCCAGGGUCUGCUGAAACACUCGGUGCUUCUCAUCCCUGCACAACGCUAACCCUGCAGUGCUCUGCUUAAUACUCAGCUCUCCAGGAAGGAAGAAAGGAGAACCAUGGGGACCCAUCAGGAAACCGAAGGGCCACUGCCUACCGCAAGAAAGACAGGAAUUCUCAUGAGCAGGUGGAAGCCUAUGACUGCCGAUGAUCCUGCCUC